rnacentral:rRNA from 1 species
GACGAACGCUGGCGGCGUGCUUAACACAUGCAAGUCGAGCGGAGCGGCGAACGGGUGAGUAACGCGUGAGUAACUGCCCCCCUCCCUGGGAUAACAGUUGGAAACGGCUGCUAAUACCUGAUAGUGGGGGAUGACUCGCGUCCUAUCAGCUUGUCGGGGGGGUAGUGGCCUACCAAGGCGACGAAGGGUAGCCGGCCUGGGAGGGGGACCGGCCACAUUGGGCUGAGAGACGGCCCAAACUCCUACGGGAGGCAGCAGUGGGGAAUAUUGCACAAUGGGGGAAACCCUAAUGCAGAAACGCCGCGUGCGGGAUGACGGCCUUCGGGGUGUAAACCGCUUUCAGCCAUGACGCGGUAGUGGCAGAAGAAGCACCGGCUAACUCCGUGCCAGCAGCCGCGGUAAUUC